rnacentral:rRNA from 1 species
GGCGAACGCUGGCGGCGUGCUUAACACAUGCAAGUCGAACGAUGAAGCUGGAGCUUGCUCCGGUGGAUUAGUGGCGAACGGGUGAGUAACACGUGAGCAAUCUGCCCUUCACUCUGGGAUAACUGCGGGAAACUGUAGCUAAUACCGGAUACGAGACCUUGGGGCAUCCCAGGGUCUGGAAAGAAUUUCGGUGAAGGAUGAGCUCGCGGCCUAUCAGCUAGUUGGUGAGGUAAUGGCUCACCAAGGCGACGACGGGUAGCCGGCCUGAGAGGGUGACCGGCCACACUGGGACUGAGACACGGCCCAGACUCCUACGGGAGGCAGCAGUGGGGAAUAUUGCACAAUGGGCGAAAGCCUGAUGCAGCAACGCCGCGUGAGGGAUGAAGGCCUUCGGGUUGUAAACCUCUUUUAGUAGGGAAGAAGCGCAAGUGACGGUACCUACAGAAAAAGCACCGGCUAACUACGUGCCAGCAGCCGCGGUAA